rnacentral:rRNA from 1 species
GAUGUCGACUUGGAGGUUGUGCCCUUGAGGCGUGGCUUCCGGAGCUAACGCGUUAAGUCGACCGCCUGGGGAGUACGGCCGCAAGGUUAAAACUCAAAUGAAUUGACGGGGGCCCGCACAAGCGGUGGAGCAUGUGGUUUAAUUCGAUGCAACGCGAAGAACCUUACCUGGUCUUGACAUCCACGGAAGUUUUCAGAGAUGAGAAUGUGCCUUCGGGAACCGUGAGACAGGUGCUGCAUGGCUGUCGUCAGCUCGUGUUGUGAAAUGUUGGGUUAAGUCCCGCAACGAGCGCAACCCUUAUCCUUUGUUGCCAGCGGUCCGGCCGGGAACUCAAAGGAGACUGCCAGUGAUAAACUGGAGGAAGGUGGGGAUGACGUCAAGUCAUCAUGGCCCUUAGACCAGGGCUACACACGUGCUACAAUGGCGCAUACAAAGAGAAGCGACCUCGCGAGAGCAAGCGGACCUCAUAAAGUGCGUCGUAGUCCGGAUUGGAGUCUGCAACUCGACUCCAUGAAGUCGGAAUCGCUAGUAAUCGUGGAUCAGAAUGCCACGGUGAAUACGUUCCCGGGCCUUGUACACACCGCCCGUCACACCAUGGGAGUGGGUUGCAAAAGAAGUAGGUAGCUUAACCUUCGGGAGGGCGCUUACCACUUUGUGAUUCAUGACUGGGGGUGAAGUCGUAACAAGGUAACCGUAGGGGAACCUGCGGUUG